UACGUAGGGCGCAAGCGUUUGUCCGGAAUUAUUGGGCGUAAAGAGCUCGUAGGCGGUCUGUUGCGUCCGCUGUGAAAACCCGGGGCUUAACCCCUGGCUUGCAGUGGAUACGGACAGACUAGAGGUAGGUAGGGGAGAAUGGAAUUCCCGGUGUAGCGGUGAAAUGCGCAGAUAUCAGGAGGAACACCGGUGGCGAAGGCGGGUCUCUGGGCCGUUACUGACGCUGAGGAGCGAAAGCGUGGGGAGCGAACAGG
rnacentral:rRNA from 1 species